rnacentral:rRNA from 1 species
GAUGAACGCUGGCGGCGUGCCUAAUACAUGCAAGUCGAGCGAACGGACGAGAAGCUUGCUUCUCUGAUGUUAGCGGCGGACGGGUGAGUAACACGUGGAUAACCUACUUCUAAUACUGGGAUAACUUCGGGAAACCGGAGCUAAUACCGGCUAAUAUUUUGUACCGCAUGGUUCAAAAGAGCAAGACGGUCUUGCUGUCUCUUAUAGACGGUUCCGCGCUGCAUUAGCUAGUUGGUAAGGUAACGGCUUACCAAGGCUACGAUGCAUAGCCGACCUGAGAGGGUGAUCGGCCACACUGGAACUGAGACACGGUCCAGACUCCUACGGGAGGCAGCAGUAGGGAAUCUUCGGCAAUGGGCGAAAGCCUGACGGAGCAACGCCGCGUGAGUGAUGAAGGUCUUCGGAUCGUAAAACUCUGUUAUUAGGGAAGAACAUAUGUGUAAGUAACUGUGCACAUCUUGACGGUACCUAAUCAGAAAGCCACGGCUAACUACGUG